GCUUAGGGGCCGUGUAAACGGCUACGGCGGCCAAACGCGCUAAGGCGUCAGCUAUGCGCUAGUAGGUCUGAAAAGUGCCACAGUGACGAAACGAUCAGGGAAACCUGAGCGGUGGAACGGGUAAACCCCGCGAGCGAGUAACCCAAACUUUUGGUAGGGGCGUUUUGCCAAGCAAAUUGAAGCGACGGCAAUACAGCGGUAACGCUGAGAUAGAUGAUGACUGAAGGAGCUUGUGCCUGAACAAGUUCUGGAACAAAACAUGGCUUAUAGGG
rnacentral:RNase_P_RNA from 1 species